AAAAGAACCAACAGGGAUUGCCCCAGUAACGGCGAGUGAAGCGGCAACAGCUCAAAUUUGAAAUCUGGUCCCCAGGGCCCGAGUUGUAAUUUGUAGAGGAUGCUUUUGGCAAGGUGCCUUCCGAGUUCCCUGGAACGGGACGCCAUAGAGGGUGAGAGCCCCGUCUGGUCGGAUACCGCGCCUCUGUAAAGCUCCUUCGACGAGUCGAGUAGUUUGGGAAUGCUGCUCAAAAUGGGAGGUAUAUGUCUUCUAAAGCUAAAUAUUGGCCAGAGACCGAUAGCGCACAAGUAGAGUGAUCGAAAGAUGAAAAGCACUUUGAAAAGAGGGUUAAAAAGUACGUGAAAUUGUUGAAAGGGAAGCGCCUAUGACCAGACUUGGGCCCGGUGAAUCAUCCAGCGUUCUCGCUGGUGCACUUUGCCGGGCACAGGCCAGCAUCAGUUUGGCGCGGGGGAUAAAGGCUUUGGGAAUGUGGCUCCCUCGGGAGUGUUAUAGCCCAUUGCGCAAUACCCUGCGCCGGACUGAGGUACGCGCAUUUGCAAGGAUGCUGGCGUAAUGGUCAUCAGCGACCCGUCUUGAAACACGGACCAAGGAGUCGUCUUCGUAUGCGAGUGUUCGGGUGUCAAACCCCUACGCGUAAUGAAAGUGAACGCAGGUGAGAGCUUCGGCGCAUCAUCGACCGAUCCUGAUGUUCUCGGAUGGAUUUGAGUAAGAGCAUACGGGGCCGGACCCGAAAGAAGGUGAACUAUGCCUGUAUAGGGUGAAGCCAGAGGAAACUCUGGUGGAGGCUCGCAGCGGUUCUGACGUGCGAAUCGAUCGUCAAAUAUGGGCAUGGGGGCGAAAGACUAAUCGAAC
rnacentral:rRNA from 1 species